rnacentral:lncRNA from 1 species
CUAUGUCCUCUGUCUUGCAACUGUUAUCUUUGUUGCUCCUGAGUUUAAGCCCUUGUCAUCCAUGCUCGGAACACUCUCCAAACCCCUUUGUCCUUACCAAUAUCCCACCCUGCUUUAGAGGUCCAGCUUAGACUCCAGUAAUAAAAUAUCGCAAAGUGAGCUCUGUCUCCCCCGAACCUGCACAACCGCACAAUGGUGGUUUUGCACCUUACCUGACAUGCAUGGUUUUCAUGGCUCUCGUUUAACCCUCACAGAAGUCACUGUGAGGCAGGGAAGGCGGGAUCCAUCCCUGUUAGGGUUAGUCAAUAACGCCGAGCCUCGGAGGUCAGAGGAGGGUGUUGGCUGCCAAAUCCUAGAGCUGAUGCUGGUUGGGCUAUGAAAAAGAGGGACCUGGGAACAGCUGGUGUUCAGAUCAUUGUUACUCCGGAUUAACUGUGAAUUGAUGCUUCCUGAACCUGACCUUCACAACAUCAGAGAAGAAGUAAUUUGUUAUUUUUAUCCAGCUAGUCUCCAUUCACCUCUUCUAUUUGUUUUCUCUAUUUGAUGGCACCCCCCCCCCUUUCAUAUGUUCAUUAUGGUCCCCUGAGAUGUGCAAAAUAUAUAUAAUGGAAUACAAAUUAUUUAAC